rnacentral:rRNA from 1 species
CCUACGGGUGGCAGCAGUGAGGAAUAUUGGUCAAUGGACGAGAGUCUGAACCAGCCAAGUAGCGUGUAGGAUGACUGCCCUAUGGGUUGUAAACUUCUUUUAUAUGGGAAUAAAAUGUUCCACGUGUGGGAUUUUGUAUGUACCAUAUGAAUAAGGAUCGGCUAACUCCGUGCCAGCAGCCGCGGUAAUACGGAGGAUCCGAGCGUUAUCCGGAUUUAUUGGGUUUAAAGGGAGCGUAGGUGGAUUGUUAAGUCAGUUGUGAAAGUUUGCGGCUCAACCGUAAAAUUGCAGUUGAAACUGGCAGUCUUGAGUACAGUAGAGGUGGGCGGAAUUCGUGGUGUAGCGGUGAAAUGCUUAGAUAUCACGAAGAACUCCGAUUGCGAAGGCAGUUCACUGGACUGCAACUGACACUGAGGCUCGAAAGUGUGGGUAUCAAACAGGAUUAGAUACCCGAGUAGUC